rnacentral:lncRNA from 1 species
ACAAGGUAUGCGAAACGCCGGGCAGCUACCUUGAAAUCUCCAGAAGAUCAACUGUGUGAUGAAAUCAACACCCACCAUGUCCAGAAACACCUGGAUAUGCAUAUGAAGUCCAGGGUGUAGCAUGAGUACAACAAACUCAGUAAGUAACAAUACUAAAUAAAGAACGGAAAGUAGUGACGAGCUUCACAGUUAAAGUUCAAUUACAGUGAUUUCAACAUAGGAAGGUAGGCAUGCUUUCAAGUUCGACAAUUAAGGCCAAAACAGUAAAUGCAUGUCAAGUUCAACUGAAACAGAAGAUAAUAUCUCUCUGAAAUUUCAAGAUAGUGAUAUAUGCCAGUUGAAGUGCAAAAAAAUGAAGUCAAAUGCAUCCUCACAGAGCAGCAGACACUCAGUCCUCCCAUUCACUUCAACCUCACAAUCACUCAUUCCUCACAGUCACUCAUUUCACUCAUUCGCUCAGCACUCCGCACUCACACUCAGUAGGUACCUACGCUCAUAGAGGGUGUGUACAUACUCCGGAGGGGCUCCUUCAGCCCAAGCACUAUAACAAGCCAAUCAUGGCAUAUAUCAAUGAAACAUUCUGCGGCGUGCAGCCCGAUCCUAUAAAUAUCCUUACAAUCAGGCCCCUGGCCUCACUCAGUCAUCAACCUCUCCAGUCUCUCGGGAUCUCAUGAAUUAUGAUAAGCAGUCCAAACAUCAAUAAUAUAAUGCAUCAAUAAUGAACAAUAGAGACUGAGAUGUAAUAUGCAAGUAAAACUGUGACUGAGUACAAAUCAUCAACUUAGCAGAUAAUUCAACAUAUACACGACCUCUGUGGGUCCCUACAGUGCCAACACAUAGUCUAAACAUGAUUUCUAACAUGAUUUGUGGUUCAAUUUCUCUAAUACAUGGAGAAUGUAUGGGUAACAAUCGAUAAUUCAACUAUACAGUUCCAUGGAAUUUACCAAUCAUAAUCCCCACGGUGCAUGCCCACACGCCUACACGCCCAUUACCUAGCGUGUGCGUCACCUUAAAACCAAGCACAUGACACGCAAAUAGGAGGUUUUGUACCUGCAAAACCAAAUUUAGAACUGUUACUUACCUCAAUCCGAGCAAAACUCUACUCCAACACACUCUUGCCUCACGAAAUGGCCUCUGAAUGCCUCGAAUCUGGCCAUAAAUAAUUCGAUAUAAUCAUUACGGGCUAAAGGAAUCAAUUCCACAAGAAAAUACUAAAUUAUUAAUCAAAAGUCAAAACUCUACUCAAAAGCCGGCCCCCAGGCCCACGUCUCGAAAUUCAAUAAAAGUCACAAAACCCGAAAGACCAUUCAAUCACGAGUCUAACCAUACAAAAUUUAUCAAAAUCCGACACCAAAUCGUCACCCAAAUCCCCAAAUCAAACUCUCCAAAUCCCUAGACUCAAACUCUCAAUUUACACCUUAAUAACACACCAACAAGGUGGGAAAAUCAAUGGGGAAGCAAACUUAAUGAUCAAAAAAUGAGCAUAAGGGACUUACCUCAAGAAUCUUCUCGAAAUCCCUCUCAAGAAUCGCCAAUAUCCGAGCUCAAAAAGUUUAAAAUAAAGCAAAAUCGCGAACCCUUGUAUUUAAGUGUUCUGCCAGCACUUCCGCUUCUGUGGAAAAUUAACCGCUUCUGCAGCGUCGCAGAAGCGACCUCUCACCCUCAUUUGAAGCUCCUUUUGCUCCUGCGAUCCCUUACUUCACUUCUGCGGACUCGCUUCUACGAGCAUCCAAGCUGCUUUUGCGAACCAAGCUCACCUACCAAAUUUCGCUUCUGCGGUCCCCUUGAUGCAUCUGCGGUCACGCAGGUGCGGCAAAUCCCUCGCACCUCCAAACUUGCAUUUGCGUAAGGCAGCCAACACCUGCAAGCUCGUACCUGCGGUCAAAGCUCUGCAGGUGUGAUUACACCAGCAGGGUCUAACUUCAGCAAUCUCUCAUCCGAAAUCGACCCGAGGCCCCUGGGACCUCAACCAAAUAUACCAACAAGUCCUAAAAUCUCAUACGAACUUAGUCAAACCCUAAAAUCACAUUAAACAACUUCAAAAACACGAAUCGCACCCCAAUUUAAGCCUAUUGAAACUAAGGAAUUCCAACCUCUACAAACGACGCCAAAACCUACCAACCCACGUCCGAUUGACCCCAUAUAUUGCACACAAGUCACAAAUGACAUUGCGGACCUACUCCGACUUCCAGAAUCAGAAUUUGACCCUACUAUCAAAAAGUCCACUCCCGGUCAAACUUUCAAAAAAUUCUACUUUCACCAUUUCAAGCAUAAUUUCACUACGGACCUCUAAAUCACAAUUCGAACACGCUUAUAAGUCCAAAAUUACCCAACGAAGCUAAUGGGACCAUCAAAACUCCAUUCCGGAGUCGUUUACUCAUAGGUCAACAUCCCGUCAACCAUUUCAACUUAAGCUUCCAACCAUGAAACUGUCUCAUUUCCUUCCAAAACUCCAUCGGACCCGAACCGACUACCCCAGCAAGUCAUAUAAUAGCUAUAAAGUACAAAAUGAGCAAUAAAUGGGGGAACGGGGCUACAACUCUCAAAAUGACCGGCCGUGUCGUUACAAGUAUGUGAAUACCACAAUACAAAACUUAGGUAGAUAAAAGCUUCCCAAUGACAAUGACAAAGUAGAAAGCAACAAUAACCUGCAUACAGAAGAGGCUCAACACAACAUAUAUACAUAAACUAAGGCCGACGAGUCUAUAACGAGUAUAUAAACAACUGGCAAGGGGCGACAAGGAUGCAUAAAACAUAUAUACAACAACCUCUAAUUUGCAAGACUCUACGAGUACUAAUAUGUGUUGUCAAGUCGGGAUAGGGCACGUACAUACCCAAAAUAGUUGUAUGCAUAUGGAGUAGUGCCUACCGACUCUGUACAUCAACUUCGGAGAAAAAGAGUGUGACAAACAAUAGCUGGAAACACGUACCCUACUGAGGAGGUAUAUCGGUCUGUCUAUCUGUACCUGCGGGCAUGAACACAGCGCCCAGAAGGGAUGUUAGUACGAAAGAUGUACUAACUAUGUAAGGCAGGUAAAUAUAAUAAAUAAGAGAUGUAAAACCAAAGGAAAAGCUAUUGAAUCAACUUGUAACUCAGAAAAGGCCGUUGAGGGCAUACAACUAAUAUAACCAAGAAUAUAUAUGCAUGUAAGUAAAACCAGGCCGCUCUAUAGGGCCAUAUAGUAUCAUAUCAAGUCCCUCUGUGGGGUAAGCUCAUAAUAAACUACCAAGUCAUAUAAGACGUGGUAAUAUCUGUGCGGUAAGAAAAUAGAUAACAUAAUGCAUGAGACAAUGGAUUAAUAAUUAGAGUCGUUCAGAGUGACGUAAGGUCGGUAGACUCCGAAUGCAUUAUGAUACUAAUGUGAUCAACACAAGACUUGGCGGAUACAAGAAUAUACAAUCAUAUACUUUCCAUAAGCCUUUCAUGAGCUUUGGAAUAAUUCAUGGCAUCAAGAUGGAAAAUAUAUCAACUUGCUCAACGUGAAAUGAAGGAAAGGGCAUGAACAUAUUUAGAACUUCGAAUAAAGUACCUUUUUUUAAGGAUAUUUGUUUUCACGCACGUAUAGUUGGGAUCAUGCCAGAAAAGACAGAAGAUGAAGAAGCCUUAACAUACAUUUAUGAUGCUUCGCUUGCUGUAACGACUCGACUGGUCGUUUUGAGUAUUUGAGCCCCAUUUCCCCUUUUGAAGCUUUUCGUAUAUAUAUAUUUGUGGUUUUAUGACUUGCGGUGAUGGUUGGUUUAGUUUCGGGGAGGUUUUGGAUUGAUUUGGAACAACUGAUUUUUAGUUUGGAAGCUUAAGUUGGAAAUAUUGGUCGAGGUUUGACUUUUAUGAAAAUGACUACGGAACAAUAUUUUGACAUAUCCAAUAGGUUUUUAUGGUAAUUUCAAACUUAGGCGUAUGCUCAAAUUGAAUUCGGAGGUUUCGAGGUUGAAUUGGCUCUUUUUGCCGAAAGUUGGCAAUUUGGAAGAUUAGAAAUUUUUUUAAGUUCGACCAUAGGUUAACUUUAUGGCUAUCGGGUUUGGAUAAUAGUUUCGAGACUUAUAAUAGGUUCAUUUUUUUUAUUUUCAAUUUGUGUGCAAACUUUGGUGUCAUUCCGAGUUGGUUUGGUAGGAAUUAGACGCUUGGUUGUGAUUUUAGCGAUUCUUGAGUUUCAUUGUGAAUUCUAUGUGUUUUGGUAUCCGAUUCAUGGUUCUAGAUGUUAUAUUGGAGCUUUGAGAUCGCGAGCGAGUUUGUAUAAAAUUUCUAGAGUUGUGUGGGUGUUUCGUAUGGAGCCCCGGGGGCUCGAGUAAGUUUCAGACGUGUUUCAGAUCAUUUGAGUGAGUUUCGGUUUUGCUAGUGCUUGGCUGGUGCUGCAGGUCUCACGAAUGCUAGCACCAGGUUGCAUUUGCAGUGACCGCAUAUGUGAGGGACUUAUUGCAAUUACAAAGGAGGGCUUAGGGUUUCAGGCUUUGCAAAUGCGAAGCCAGCCUCGCAUUUGCGAUGCGGAAACUAGGCUGAGGCAUGCCACAUUUUCGAUACCCAUCUCGCAUUUGCGACGCCUGCAAGGUUUGCAUUUGCAGACAUAAUGUCACAUUUUCGACUUCAGUGGAUCUUGGAAGGCUUCACUUUUGCGAGCAAAGGGCAUAUUUGCAAUAGUCGCAUUUGCGAACCCAAGGUCACAAAUGCGACUUCUGUAAAUAAAAGUUGGGAUUCCGGGACUUGGUCUCAUUUUAUCACAUUUUUUAGCUCUAGACUCGGUGGGAGGAAGUUUUAGGAGGGGAUUUUCAUACCAAGCUGUUGGGUAAGUAUUUUUCAUCCAAUUUAAAUAAUAUAACUUGAUUAUCUAUGUAUAUUAACAUCAAAUCCAUGAGAUUUUGGGGAUUUUUGACUAUAUUUAGGAAAAUAAAAAUUUGAGAUUUGAGAGUCGAAUUGGAUUCGGAUUUGAAAAUCAAACACAUAUAUAGACUCGUGGGGUUACGGUUAAUCAAGAUCUAUCCCUCGACUCGGGUUUUGAUCGGGUGGGCCCGGGGUUGACUUUUGUUGACUUUUAGGAAAUUGUGUAAAGAUCUUAACUUUAUUAAUCGAAAUUAGUUUCUCUUGUAUUGUUUGAUAUUAAGUUAUUUUUGGCUAGAUUUGAGCCGAGCGGAGGUGAAUUUUAAAGAAAAAGUAUUUUUAGAGUACUGAAUUGGCCUAAUUGAGGUAAGUAUCUUGUCUAUCUUUGUGUGAGGGAAUUACCCCCCUUAGUAUUUGGUUUAAUUUGCAUUAUUUGGGCUAUGUGAAAUAACGUGUACAUAAGGGGACAAAUGUGUACAUGGGCGUAUGUGUGGUAAUAGAUCGGAUUAGACCUUAGGCGAUUAAAAUGCCUUGAAUUGGGGUUGUUUGUUAUGUGAAACAUGUUUUAUCAUUAUUCACUCCCAGCACCCUUAUGUUAUUGUUAUGAUUCUUAUACACAUUGUUGUUGAGCCGUGGGAUAUAUCUUGUUGUAACUUUGUGAUUGUUGUUGUGGUACAUGUGUAUGUGUUGUGCGAGUUGAUUUGUUAUUAUGUGCAGUAUAAGGGUCGCGAGAUGCGCAUCCAGCAACAUAAGGGUGGUGCUUAUUAAUGCGUAUGCGACGAGGUAAGGGGGCUUAUGCACGUGUUGUAAAUAAGGGGAAUAAUUUAAUGUGAUGCACAUGCGGUGAUAUAAGGGGUCUUAUGCGCAUGUAGCUAUAUAAAGGGAAAUAUUUUGUUGUGAAGUUCACAUGGCGUCAUAAGGGUGGCUUGUUGAUGAUGUUGUGUGGUGUUUCGGGGUGACCCUUGAUGUUACUCAUGUAUUGGAAUGGGUUGAUAUUUUGAAAUAUCCUUGUUUUCCUUAAAUGGUGUCACUUUGCGUUUUCAUGAGUUAUUGGUUGAAUUGCCCUGUUAUCAUAUGUCCGCUUUUGGUUGAUAUUUAUUCUAUGAUAUUUCCAUUGUCAAUUUUGUAUUGAUAUCUUGCACAGGAUCAUUUGACUAGUGAGUGUCUUGACUUGAACCUCGUAACUACUCCACCGAGGUUAGUCAUGAUACUUACUAGGUACCGAUUGUGGUAUACACAUACUACGCUUCUGCAUAUUGUUUGUGCAGAUCUAGGUACCAUAUAUCGUGCUGGUCGUUAGUAAGUUAAUCCCAAGCUUCUGGAGACUUCAUGGUAUACUUGCUGUUUAACUCGCAGGCCUCGAAGUUACCAUCUUGUUUCAUUUUUGCUACUAUUUAUGGUAUCCCAAAUAGUGAUGUAUUUUUGAGACUUCUUGUAUACUCUAUGUAGAGCAUAUGACUCAGUAUUACCGGAUUUUGGGAUGAUGGCUAUUGUAUCUUUGCUUUGGCUACAUUAGGGAUUUUCAUCGCUUUUGCUUACAUUUCUGAGUUAUUAUAUUUUGUUCAAUAUUUUCAUGUGAUAUGAUUACCUAGUCUUAGAUACUAGGUUUCAUUACGACCCUUACGUGGAUUUUGGGCCGUGGCACUUGCUUGCCACACGCUCGUUGUGCUUCAAUCUCGACCUAUAAUAAUAGAAUAAUGAUUCUAUCACAAUUAUCCAAUCGUAAUUUAAUGUAUCCAAGUGACGGGUAAUUUCUACGAUAAUUCAGGCAGUAGUUCCCCUAUAUUUCUUACAUUUUCCAGAUCCAUAGUGAUCAUAAUAUCAAAAAUCCAUCCUAAAUCAAGUUCAUAUACAUCAAUUUUCAACCAACAAUCCAUUACAUCGAAUGGAAACCUCGGAUUAUAGUCCCAUAAGGUUAUUCUUUUAUUUUUUUGGCUCAUUAUCGACAACAAUUUGAAGAUAAUCAUAUUCCCAAUGUCACUCUACAUCUACAAUGCCUAUGAAACCUCUUUUUAACACAAUUAUCAAGCUACAAUGGAAAUUAUCAAAACCUAGUCAUAAUUUCAAGACUCCCAACCUUAUGCUCACAUGCAAGCCAAUUUUACCCAAUUGUAUGUAUAAGGGAUGAGAUCAUACGUCAUUUGCCUCAAACAAUCCUCAGUCCUAGCUGGGUUUAGUUUAUCUCCAUCUUAAUUCCAAGAAUAAGAAGGCGACGAUCCCGUAACGUCCGUGAAUCUUCCGAGACCUCAACUUGUGUAGAUGUAACGCCCCAAAAACUUUUAAAGUACUAAAGUGGUAAGCCCGGUAAAUUUUGCAAAGAAAAUAAUAUUUCAUGGUGUCGGACUAUGCACCGAAAAGUAAGAAAAAUAUUUGGCGGAAAAUUGCAUUUCUGUGAUCUAUUAUGCAACCGCAGAAUCACUCUGUGAACCGCAUAAUGGCCGCAGAGUGAGGCAGUUAAUUGGACCAAUUAGAAGCAAUUAUGCGGUCGACUAUGCGACAGCAUAACUGUUAUGCGUUGCAUUAUGCGACCGCAUAACGGUUAUGCGGACCGCAUAGUGACCGCAUAUACAUGCAGUUCUUUUGGCUAUUUUGUAACCAACUAUGCGACCGAUAUGCGGUCCGCAUAUCGAUUAUACGAUCGCAUACCUUGUUCCGGAGCUCCAUUUUUGGGUUUUUAAAAUCCAGCCAUAUUUCGUUAAAUACACUCUUUGGAUCAUUUUUGAGCUAUUAUCUGACAUUUUAGAAUGAGAGAGGGUGCCCUAAAGUGAGAAGGUGAUUCUUCAAAAAUUGUUCUUCAAUUCUUGCUCAAGAUUUGGAAGAUUAAGAAGGGAAACUCACUAGGUCUUCAUCCUAUGGUAAGAUUCUACACCCUAACCCUCAAUUUCGAAUUUUGUGCGGAAAUGGAUAAUAAGCAAGAUAAUUUCUGGGCAAGAGGGUUAGUUAUUUUAAAUGCAUGUGUUAUCAAAGGGUGUAGAAAGAUUGUUGAGCUAAAAAUGGUAAAGGUUGGAUUGUGAGAUGAUGGAAUCCUCCAUAAAAGGACCUUGAAGCUUAAUGCACACCUAGUGUUUGGUAAAAUGCUCAAAUGAGCUAGAACCAUAAUCAUCUUCCUAAUUGUUGUUCAAUUUGUUAUAUUUCUAAAAUAGAUUGAAGUUGCUAAGAAUUGCGGAACGUUUUAGAGUUUAAGGAAGCUCAAUUGAGGUAUGUUGCUAAACUCUUCUUUAAGNNNNNNNNNNNNNNNNNNNNNNNNNNNNNNNNNNNNNNNNNNNNNNNNNNNNNNNNNNNNNNNNNNNNNNNNNNNNNNNNNNNNNNNNNNNNNNNNNNNNNNNNNNNNNNNNNNNNNNNNNNNNNNNNNNNNNNNNNNNNNNNNNNNNNNNNNNNNNNNNNNNNNNNNNNNNNNNNNNNNNNNNNNNNNNNNNNNNNNNNNNNNNNNNNNNNNNNNNNNNNNNNNNNNNNNNNNNNNNNNNNNNNNNNNNNNNNNNNNNNNNNNNNNNNNNNNNNNNNNNNNNNNNNNNNNNNNNNNNNNNNNNNNNNNNNNNNNNNNNNNNNNNNNNNNNNNNNNNNNNNNNNNNNNNNNNNNNNNNNNNNNNNNNNNNNNNNNNNNNNNNNNNNNNNNNNNNNNNNNNNNNNNNNNNNNNNNNNNNNNNNNNNNNNNNNNNNNNNNNNNNNNNNNNNNNNNNNNNNNNNNNNNNNNNNNNNNNNNNNNNNNNNNNNNNNNNNNNNNNNNNNNNNNNNNNNNNNNNNNNNNNNNNNNNNNNNNNNNNNNNNNNNNNNNNNNNNNNNNNNNNNNNNNNNNNNNNNNNNNNNNNNNNNNNNNNNNNNNNCCGCUUUGUGUGAAGAUGGUUAUAGAGGAUCUCAUCUUAAAUCCUAUAAAUGUUGUUGAUAGCUUUUAAUAAGCUUUCUAUGGUUGAGACGGUUAUCUAUAUUAUUGCUAUUGCCGCACUGGUUCUGAUAAUUAUCUUUGUAUUUCUAAAUUCUUAAAUUGGUGUUUAGUUUUCAUACUAGUACUAUUCGACGGUACUAACGUCCCUUUUGCCGGGGGCACUGCAUCUUUAAAUAGAUGCAGGUGAUUCCAAAGCAGGAGACAUUGAUCAGUGAUAGCAGUACACCUUCUUCCCAGCUGACUUGGUGAGCCCCACUUCAUCCCGGGGUCAUGUAUCUUUUGUUCUUUAUGUAUUAUGGUUGAGGUAUAGCCGGGGCCUUGUUGCCGGCAUUAUCAUUGUACUCUUCUUUAUCUAUAGAGGCUCCGUAGACAUAGUGUGGGUUGUGUAUUGGUGUUGGGAAAGACAAAUUAUGCUAUGUUGUGGUUGUAUUACUUGUCCAUUUGAGACUUUAAAAAUGGUGAAACUUAUGAUAAGAAAUUGGUAAUUGCAGACAUGACCACUUUAUUGCGUAAUUAAGGAAAACAUAUAUUCUCUUUAUUCAUGAAUGAGUUUGGGUAGGAGGAAUCUAAUAGGCUUGCUCGGUCGGGUUCACUCGGUUGAGCGCCGGUCACGCUCCUCGGUUUUGGGGCGUGACAGCAGAGUCCCUUGGAUUUGAUAUAUGUUGGUGUAUACAUCUUAGAGAGAGACAAGUUUUAUAGAGAAGGAGGAUCCCUUUUGGGGGUGAGAUAGAAUGGAAAAUAUUCGGUCUAGCACCUGUAUAUACUAAACCCACCACCUCAAUAUGGGCCGUAUAUUUGUAUGGACAAUAACUAGCACAAUACUUCUAUGAUUUGCGAACUAUCUAUUGCAUUAGAAAGAAGACUCUCUGAACUUGAAUUUAGAAACAUUAUGCAUCCCACGAUUCCUUAUAUACUAGAAGAUAUAACUCUACCAAGUUGGUCCAAAAGUCAUGUUUGAAAUUCGGCCUGCCCUUCCCCGAGUCUCGACGAACUUAAUUUUCUUUUAAUUCGUUUGACUCCGAACUCAUACGAAACUUUCGUAACACCUAUUUAAACCUAUUGUCAUCCAAAUAUUUGAUCUUAGACUCACUAGGCUUUAUGUUUCUUCACUUAUGACACAUACGAGCGCGAACAUAUGGGUUGUAACAUCUUUCCCCCCUAAACAUUUUGGUAGAGUUUUCUCUAUAAAUAGGACUAUCCAAACUUGUGAAACAGCCAAAACACACGUUUAAUGCCAAACAGGGUGAUUGAAUGACAUAACAACAUCAUAUUGGCCCCACACGACCGUCUAUUUAUGCGAUUAUCAAAAAGGUUUAGUCAUAACUCACCUCAACUGUCAUAUGCUAAAAUCUAGGUUGCAUCUGCCAUUUUUGUCUCAACAAUAUCGCCUGAAGGCUGAAACGAAUAAGGGUACCUGGACUUCAUAUCCUCCUCGACCUCCCAUGUCAUUUUUUCGACGUUAUUAUUCCUGCAAAGUACCUUAACUGAAGCUACUUCUUUGGUCUACAACUAACGGACUUGCCGAUCUAGGUUAGCAACAGGGACUUUCUCAUAUGAUAGGUCUUCUUUGACUUGAACAUCCUCAAUGGGGGUGAUGUAGGAGGGAUCACCCAAGAACUUAGGAUGCAUAGAUACAUGAAAUAUUGGAUGAACUACAUUUAAAACAUGUGGUAACUCAAGUUUGUAAGCCACUUGGACGAUUCUCUGAAUAAUUUGAUACGGUCCAAUGUACAUUUGGAUAUGUUUUCCUUUCUUGCCAAACCUCAUCACGCCUUUCAUAAGAGACACCUUCAGGAAUACCCAAUCUCCCACAUCAAACUCUAUGUCUUAGUGUCGGUUAUCCGAGUAGGACUUUUGUCGACUCUGGGUAGUCAACAAUUACCCUUGAAUCAACUUUACCUUAUCUAUGGCUUGUUACACCAAAUUAGUCCCCAAUAACUGUGUUUCGCCCACAUAAAACUAACCGAUAGGAGACCUGCACUUCCGCUCAUAUAGGGCUUCAUAUGGUUCCAUCUUGAUAAUGAAAUGGUAACUGUUAUUAUAGGCAAACUCAAAGAACACCAGAUGGUCUUCCUAACUUCCUUUGAAGUCUAAAACAUAGGCCGCCGCAAUAUAUCCUCGAGCGUCUAAAUAGUGUGCUCAGCCCCUGUGGAUGGAAACCUAUGCUAAGGCUAAUCUAAGUACCUAAACUUUUCCAGAAGGACCUCCAGAAGUUAGCUGUAAAUUGGGCAUUUUUGUCAGAUAUAAUAGAAACCAGAACUCCAUGAAGUUUGAAUACCUCUCUGAUAUACAAUCUAGCAUAAUCCUCAUCUGAGUAGGUAGUUCUGAUAUGUAGGAAAUGAAUUGACUUUGUAAGUUUAUUCACAAUAACCCAAAUGGAAUCAAACUUCCGACGAGAACUAGGUAAUCCUGUAAUAGAAUCGAUGUUGAUGGUUUCCCAUUUCCAGGUCGGAAUCUAAAUAUUCUGAAGCAGUCCUCCAAGUUAACCAUAACUCACCUCAACUGUCAUCUCCUAAAAUCUGGGCUGCUCCUGCCAUAUUUUUCUCAACAAUGUCACUUGAAGGCUGAAACAAAUAAGGUAUCUGGACUUCAUAUCCUCCUCGACCUCCCAUGUCAUUUCUUCCAUGUUAUUAUUCCUCCAAAGUACCUUAACUGAAGCUACUUCUUUGGUCUACAACUUAUGGACUUGGCGAUCUACGAUAGCAAUAGGGACUUCCUCAUAUGAUAGGUGUUCUGUGACCUGAACAUCCUCAAUGGGGGUGAUGAUGGAGGGAUCACCCAAGCACUUACGAAGCAUAGAUAUAUGAAAUGCUGGAUGAACUACUUCUAAAUCAUGUGGUAACUCAAGUUUGUAAGCCACUUGGCCGAUUCUAAAAAUUAUUUGGCACGGUCCGACAUACCUAGGGAUAAGCUUGCCUUUCUUGCCAAACCUUAUAACACCCUUCAUAGGCAACACCUUCAGGAACACCCAAUCUCCCACAUCAAACUCUUAAGUCUCGAUGUCGGUUAUCCGAGUAGGAUUUUUGUAGACUCUUGGCAGUCAACAAUUACUCCUGAAUCAAUUUCACCUUCUCUACGGCUUGUUGCACCAAAUCUGGCCCCAAUAACUUUAUUUUUCCAAUAUCGAACCAACCGAUAGGAGACCUACACUUCCCCUCAUACAAGGCUUCAUAUGGUGCCAUCUUGAUACUGGAAUGGUUUAUAAGCAAACUCAGCAGAUGGUCUUCCUAACAUUCUUUGAAAUCUAAAACAUAGGCCCGAAACAUAUCUUCGAGCGUCUAAAUAGUGCGCCCGGCCCCCCUAUUUGUCUGCAGAUGGAAAGUUGUGCUAAGGCUAAUAUGAGUACCUAAACCUUUCUGGAAAGACCUCCAUAAGUUAGCUAUAAAUUGGGCAUUUUUGUCAAAUAUAAUAGAAACUGGAAGUCCAUGAAGUCAAACUAUCUCUCUAAUAUAUAAUCUAGCAUAAUCCUCAGCUGAGUAGGUAAUUUUGACAUGUAGGAAAUGAGUUGACUUUGUAAGUUUAUUCACAAUAACCAAAAUGGAAUCGAACUUCCGACGAGAACUAGGUAAUCCUGUAAUAAAAUCCAUGUUGAUGAUUUCCCAUUUCCAGGUUGGAAUCUCAAUAUUCUGAAGCAAUCCUCCAUGUUAACCAUAACUCACCUCAAUUGUCAUCUACUGAAAUCUGGGCUACACCUGCCAUAUUUGUCUCAACAAUAUCACUUGAAGGCUGCAACAAAUAAGGGUAUCUGGACUUCGUAUCCUCCUCGAGCUCCCAUGUCAUUUCUUCCAUGUUAUUAAUCCUCCAAAGUACCAUAACUGAAGCUAUUUCUUUGGUCUACAACUUACAGACUUGGCGAUCUAGGAUAGCAACAGGGACAUUCUCAUAUGAUAGGUCUUCUGUGACCCGAACAUUCUCAAAGGGGGUGAUGCGGGAGGGAUCACCCAAGCACUUACGAAGCAUAGAUACGUGAAAUACUAGCUGAACUACUUCUAACUCAUGUGGUAACUCAAGUUUAUAAGCCACUUGGCUGAUUCUCAGAAUAAUUUGAUACGGUCCAUCAUACCUGGGGCUAAGCUUGCCUUUCUAGCCAAACCUCAUGAUGCCUUUCAUAGGCGACACCUUAAGGAAUACCCAAUCUCCCACAUCAAACCCUUAAGUCUCGAUGUCGGUUAUCCUAGUAGGAAUUUUGUUGACUUGGGUAGUCAACAAUUGCUCCUGAAUUAAUUUCACCUUCUCCACGGCUUGUUUCACCAAAUCAUGCCCAAUUACAUUGUUUCGCCAACAUCAAACUAACCGAUAGGAGACCUACACUUCUGCCCAUACAGGGAGUCAUAUGGUGCCAUCUUGAUACUGCAAUGGUAACUAUUAUUAUAGGCAAACAAAAACACAGACCCACAACAUAUCCUCGAGCGUAUAAAUAAUGCGCUCGGCCUACCUGUUUGUCUGUAGAUGGAAAGUUGUGCUAAGGCUAAUAUGAGUAACCAAACCUUUUUGGAAGGACCUCCAGAAGUUAGCUGUAAACUAGGCACCUCUGUCAGAUAUAAUAAAAACCAGAACUCUAUGAAGUCAGACUAUCUCUCUAAUAUAUAAUCUAGCAUAAUACUCAGCUGAGUAGGUAGUUCUGACAGGUAGGAAUGAGCUGAAUUUGUAAGUUUAUUCACAAUAACCAAAAUUGAAUCUAACUUUCGACGAGAACUAGGUAAUCCUGUAAUAAAAUCCAUGUUAAUGGUUUCCCAUUUCCAGUUCAGAAUCUCAAUAUUCUGAAGCAAUCCUUCAGGUUAACCAUAACUCACCUCAAUUGUCAUAUGCUAAAAUCUGGGCUACACCUACCAUAUUUGUCACAACAAUAUCACUUGAAGGCUGAAACAAAUAAGGGUAUAUGGACAUCAUAUCCUCCUCGACCUCCUAUGUCAUUUCUUCCACAUUAUUAUUCCUCUAAAGUACCUUAAUUGAAGCUACUUCUUUGGUAUACAACUUACAGACUUGGCGAUCUAGGAUAGCAACAUGGACUUCUUCAUAUGAUAGGUCUUGUGUGACCCGAACAUCCUCAAAGGGGGUGAUACGGGAGGGAUCAUCCAAGCACUUACGGAGUAUAGAUACAUAAAAUACUGGAUGAACUACUUCUAACUCAUGUGGUAACUCAAGUUUGUAAGACACUUGGCUUAUUCUCAGAAUAAUUUGAUACGGUCCGUCAUACCUGGGGCUAAGCUCGCCUUUCUUGCCAAACCUCAUUAUGCCUUUCAAAGGAGAAACCUUCGGGAACACCCAAUCUCCCACAACAAACUCUAAGUCUCGAUGCCAGUUAUCCGAGUAAGAUUUUUCUUGACUUUGGGCAGUCAACAAUUGCUCCUAAAUCAAUUUCACCUUCUCUAUGGGUUGUUUUAUUAAAUAAUUAAAAAAUAAAAUUGUUUCGCCAACACCGAACUAACCGACAGGAGACCUGCAAUUCUGCCCAUACAGGGCGUCACAUGGUGCCAUCUUGAUACUAGAAUGGUAACUGUUAUUAUAGGAAAACUAAAAGAAUGGCAGAUGGUCUUCCUAACUUCCAUUAAAGUCUAAAACACAGGCCCACAAUAUAUCCUCAAGUGUCUAAAUAGUGCUCCCGGCCCUACCCGUUUGUCUGCAGUUGGAAAGUUGUGCUAAGGCUAAUCUGUGUACCCAAACCUUUUUGGAAUGACCUCCAGAAGUUAGCUAUAAACUAGGCACCUCUGUCAGAUAUAAUAAAAACUAGAACUCUAUGAAGUCAGACUAUCUCUCUAAUAUAUAAUCUAGCAUAAUGCUAAGCUGAGUAGGUAGUUCUGACAGGUAGGAAAUGAGCUGACUUCGUAAGUCUAUCCACAAUAACCCAAAUGGAAUCGAACAUCCGACAAGAACUAGGUAAUCCUAUAAUAAAAUCCACGUUGAUGGUUUCCCAUUUCCAUGUCGAAAUCUCAAUAUUCUAAAGAAAUCCUCCGGGUUUUUGAUGCUCAACCUUAACUUGCAGACAAUUUGGACACUGAGCAACGAAUUCUGCAUUAUUCUUCUUCAUAUCGUUCCACCAAUAUACUUACCGAAUGUCAUGAUACAUCUUAGUAGAGCCAGGAUGAAAAUAAUACACGGGCUGAUAAAUUUACGCCAUAAUUUGUCCUUGAAGUCCUCCAACAUCGAGCACGCACAAUCGACCCUUAUAUUUAAGAACCCCAUCAUUUGAUAGCUCGAACAACUGCUUCUUCUGAAAGGGGAUUCCUUCUCUAAUUCUGAUUAAUUUUUUAUCAUCGAAUUGCUGCGCCUUUACUUCGGCAAUUAAAGACGAUUCAAUGGCAUUUUGGAUAAUAGCGCCCGCAUCACCUGCAUCAAGCAGUCGCACACUCAAACCAGCUAGUCUAUACAAAUCUUUAGUCAUCUCUAACUUGUCAACUCCCACAUGCCUAAAGCUGCCAAUAGACUUACGACUUAAUACAUCGGCUACAACAUUCGCCUAGCUGGGAUAGUAUACGAUAUCAACAUCAUAGUCUUUCAUCAACUCAAGCCAUCUCCGUUUUCUCAAAUUCAAUUCUUUCUGCCUGAAAAAAUAUUGUAUGCUUUUAUGAUAUGUAAACAAAUCAACAUAAACUCCAUAUAAAUAGUGGCACCAUAUCUUCAAAGGAAAUAUAACAGCCGCUAACUCGAUAUUAUGAGUCGGGUAAUUCUUCUUGUGCUUCCUCAGUUGUCUUGAAGCAUACACAAUAACUUUGCCAUGCUGCAUCAAAACAAAACCCAAUCCAACUCUAGACGCAUCAUAAUAUACAACAUAACCCUCUGAUGUUAAUAUGCUCUUAAACUCCUAGAAAUUCUUUUCACAAAUAUAUGACCACUAGUACUUAGCCGCCUUAUGCGUCAACUUUGUCAAUGGAGCAGCAAUAGAAGAGAAAUUCUCUAUAAAUCUCUGAUAAUAACCUGCCAAGCCCAAGAAACUACGCACCUCAGUAGGAGUUGUGGGCCUCGGCUAAUUCUUCAGUGCCUUGAUCUUUUGGCUAUCAACUUUGAUUCCCUAAUUUGAUACUAUAUGUCCAAGAAAGGCCAUCGAGUUCAACCAGAACUAGCAUUUAGAAAACAUAGCAAACAACUUACAAUCUUGGAGUAUCUGCAACACCACCCGCAAGUGAUUGGCAUGCUCCGCCAUUGAGCGAGAAUAUAUGAGAAUAUUAUAGAUAAACAUGAUUAUAAAGAUAUCGAGAAAUGGCUUGAGCACCCAAUUCAUCAAAUACAUAAAGGUUGGUGGUGCAUUAGUAAGACCGAAGGACAUAACAAGGAACUCAUAAUGACCAUAUCUGGUCCUGAAAGUAGUCUUCAAAAUAUCCUAUAUUUAACCCUUAACUGAUGGUAUUCAGACCUAAGAUUGAUCUUCGAGAAGUGUUUGGUGUCGUACAACUGAUCAAACAGGUCGUCAAUCCUGGAAAUCAGAUAUUUAUUCUUGAUACUUACCGUGUUCAGCUGACAGUAAUCAAUAUACAUCCUCUGCCAACCAUUCUUAUUAUGAAUGAAUAACACUGGUGCACCCAACGAAGAAGUACUGGGCCUGAUAAAGCCCUUUUUCUAAAAGAUUGUUCAACUGAGCUUUCAAUUCUCUCAAUUCAGUAGGGGCCAUUCUAUACGGAGGAAUAGAUAUAGGCUGGGUGUUAGGAAGCACACUGAUAGCAUAGUCAAUUUCCCUUUCGGGAGGAAUGCCUGGAAGUUUGUCAGUAAAUAUGUCAGGGAAUUCAUUAACAACAGGGACGGUCUAAAGAAUCAGAGGUUUUGCCUGCGCAUCCUGCACCCGAACCAAGUGAUAGAUAUACCCAUUCAAGAUCAUUUUUCGAGCCUUAAGGUAUGAAAUAAACUCCCCUUAUGCGCUAGAGAAUUACCUUUCCAACACCUAGAAAAUUAAAGGGGACAACUUUCGUCCAGCAAUCUACAUUGGCACAGCAAGAAGUCAACCAAUCCAUGCCCAUAAUAACGUCAAAAUCGACCAUCUCCAAUUCAUUUAGAUCGGCUAAAGUAUGAUGAUCAUAAAUCAUCAAAUCGUAACUCUAAUAUACUCGCCUAACAACUACAGAUUCACCCAUAGAAGUAGAUACUUCAAAUGACUUACGCAAUAAUUCAGGUUCUUUACUGCACUUGCUAGCAACCAAAGGAGUAAUAUACGAUAAAGUAGAACCUGGAUCAGUCAGGACAUACACAUCAAGGGAAAAGACAGAUAAUAUAUCUAUAACCAUAUCCGGAUAUGACUCUAGGUCCUAUUGGCCCGACGAAGCAUAAAUGUUGUUUUGAUGACCGCAUGAGUUAGACGUUCCACCCCUGCCUCUACCUCUACUAACCGAUGUCUACGUACCUUGCCUAGGAGGGUGUAUAGCUGAAGAUGAAGCAGAUACAGAUCGUGUUGAUUGUGCCAUACCAACCCCGCCUCUCAUCGGACAAAACCGCAUAAUAUGACCGGGCUUCCCAUACGAAUAACACAUAUCCAAAUCCUGACGGUAUUGCCGAGAAUGAGCUCUACCACACCAACAAAAGUAAGUCAACAGAGGUCUCAUCUUACUAGACUUGCCUCUGCAAUGCAUGCCUGACGUCUGUGAUCUUUGACUUGACCAGAAUAAGUGGUCCGAUCACGACACUGGCCCUAGAAUUUCCAUGGGGCACUAGCUGCCGAAUAAGAGGGUUCCUAGAGAACUGCGGCCUAAACCCACCUAUGAAGUCUCCUGUAUCAAUCGCGGAUCGUGCCCUUUUAUUCUGACCCCUAUUUCGCUCUCGAUCAACCUGAUGCUACCUCUUAUGAUCCUCCAAGUUCUUUGUGUAGGCCUGAAUACGAGCGACAUCUAUAUUCAGAUUCAAAGAGUCAUAGUACAUUCAUUAACCAAGUGUGGUCUCAAACCAUCCACGAAUCAGUAUACUCAGUCACUCAUCUCAGCCACAACUGUAGGAACAUACCUAGCCAAGGAGUUAAACUACAUGCUAUACUUCUUAACACUCAUAUUGACCAUACUUCAGAUGUAGAAAUCUGUCUUGCCUAGCUCGGCGAAGCUAAACAGAAAAAUACUACUACAAGAAUGCCUCUAAAAACUCUUUCCAUCCUACUAGUGGGGCACAUGGCCCGCUAGACUGCUCCCAGGUCUCAUACCAAGUGGAAGCAAUAUCCUACAACCUAUAUGAAGCAAACUCCACUAUGUGAGCAUCGGUGACAUGCAUAACUCGUAAGGUCUGCUGCAUUUGAUCCAGAAAAUUCUGCCGGUUUGCAUUUGAAUCUGUCCCUGUGAAUACCGGGGGGUCCAGGUUGAUGAAAUCUUGAACUCUCGCGUUGACUGCUCUAUCAGAAGUGCGAAGGGUCUGACGCUAGGCUUGAGAGGCCAAUAGUCGAGUCAAUAACUGAACAACACUUUGCAUAUCCAUAUCCUGCUCAGGAGCAACUGGGAGGCAUUGGGGGUAUAUCAACUCCACUAUGCCCUUCAGGUGGUGGUGCUACUCUGGUAGCCUGUGAGUUGGCCUAAUUAUGAGGCUCAUGUUGACCUACAUUGGUGGGUGGCAUCUGAAUGGUGUCCUCUCCCCCCUCCUCAUCCAAUCACCAAAUAGUUGUCUGUUGUCUAGUAGUAGGUAUCGCUGAAAUGUACACAAAAUGUAGAUUUGGAGUGAACACUUACGACUCAUCUCUAUCGCACGAUCUAGAUCAAGAAGAAAGGUAACCAUCCUAAAUGACUUGUAGCCUCAUGUUUAUUAAAUGUAGUGUACAACAUACUCAUAAAUAAGACUCUACUAGACAUGACUUGUAGACUCCCUAGGAGAGACCUACUUUGAUACCAAGUUUGUCACACCCUAGCCUUGGGGGGUGUGGCCGGCACUCGACACACUAAGGCCCGAGCGAACUAACUACUGUACUUGAAUACCGCAAUAUGCAACUUAGGUCUACAAGGCCUCCCAAUGACAAUGAUAAGGUAGAAAGCAACAUAACCUGCACGCAAAAAAGGCCCAACACAACAUAUAUGCAUAAGCUAAGGCCGACGAGGCCAUCACCAUUAUAUCAUUAACUAACAAGGGGCGACAAGACCGCACAAAACUUAUAUGCAACAACCUCUAGUCUGCAAACCUCUACAAGCAUUAAUAUGUGUCAAGUUGGGAUAGGGCCUUGGCACACCCAAAAUAGCUAUAUGCAUACUGAAUAGUGCCUACCGGCUCUAUACAGCAACUUCAGAGAAGGGAGUGCAACAACCAAUAGCUGAAAAUAGGUACCCUACUGAGGAGUUUUAUCGGUCUGUCUAUCUGUACCUACGGGCAUCAGCACAUCGCCCUAGAAGGGACGUUAGUACGAAAUAUGUACUGAAUAUGUAAGGCAAGUAAAUCAUGUAAAUAAGAGAUGUAAAACAAAAGGAAAAGCUAUCGAAUCAACUUGUAACUCAGAAAAGGUCGUUGAGGGCACACAACUAACAUAACCAUAAAUAUAUGCAUGUAAGUAAAAUCGGGUUGUUCUAUGGGGCCAUAUAGUAUCAUAUCAAGUCCCUCUAUGGGGUAAUUUCAUAAUAAACUGCCCAGCCAUAUAGAACGCGGUAAUAUCUGCCCAACUAAUCAGUGGUAUGCACAUAUAAGUGUCUGCUCGGCCGACUGUAGCACAUCGAGGUAAGAAAAUAGAUACAUGAUGCAUGAGACACAUUAAUUAACAAUACGGAGGCGUCCAGAGUGACGUAAGGUCGGUAGCCUCCAAAUGCAUUAUGAUACUAAUGCCAUCAACACGAGACUUGGCAGAUACAACAAUAUACAAUCAUAUAUUUCCCAUAAGCCUUUCAUGAUCUUGGGAAUAAUUCAUGGCAUCAAGAUGAAAAAUAUAUCAACUUGAUCAACAUGACAUGAAGGAAAGGGCAUAAACAUCUUUAGAACUUAAAAUAAAUUCACUUCUUUUAGGACAUUCGUUUUCACGCGCGUAAAGUUGGGAUCAUGCUAGAAAAGAGAGAAGAUGAAGAAGACUUAACAUACCUCUAUGAUAAUUCUCUUUCUUGCCACAACGAACCGCUCAUUAUACUUUAAUCUCGACCUAUAAUCAUAGACUAAUACUUCUAUCAUAAUUUGCCAAUCAUAAUUUUACAUAUCUAAGUGACGUAAUUUUUACGAUAAUUCGGGCAGCAUUUCCUCUGUAUUUAUUACAUUCUCCAAAUCCAUAGUGAUCAUAAUAUCAACAAUCCAACCUAAGUCAAGUUCAUAUACAUCCAUUUCCAACCAACAAUCCAUUACAUCGAAUGACAACCUUGGCUUAGAGUCCCAUAAGGUUAUUCUUUUAUUUUUUCCCUGUUCAUUAUCAACGACAAUGUUAAGAUAAUCAUAUUCCCAAAUAUCGAUCUAUAGCUACGACGCCUAUGCAACCCCUUUUAAACAAUUAUCAAGCUACAAUGCCAAUUAUCAAAACCUAGUCAUAAUUUCAUGAAUUCCUAAUCUUAUGCUCACAUUCAAGCCAAUUUUACCCAAUUGCAUGUAGAAGGGGAUGAGAUCUUACCUCAAUUUUCUCAUACAAUCCUCAAUCCUAGCCGGGUUUAGUUUUUCUCCACCUUAAUUCCAAGAAUAAAAAGUAAGACGACGAUCCUGCAACGUCCACGAACCUUUCGAUACCCCUUGGAUUUGAU